AUCACCAAAAGAGUAGGAAAAAAGAAGAAAAGUAGAAGAUGACUAAUGAAACCAAGAAUGUGUUGCCAGAGAUAAAAGUUGCGGUAUCUCUGUUUGAAAUGACAUACCGAAUUGUUCAACCCCAGAUCACCGGAGAAUCGAUCAUCGAGAAAGUGACAUCAUGCAUGUCAUUCUAAGACUGCUGUCUUUUAACUUGUGUCACAUCAGUCUCAUAAUGUCCACUGUCAAACAAGCUUUUACAGUCUCUCUCUAUGGCUUUAGUAUCUCUGCUUCUCCAAAUGGUCCUUCUCUGACUCCUUUGAGUAAGCACGUUUAAACUUACUCUAUUGCCCAUUAUUUUUCAGUACCUUGUUGAGUAUAUGGUAUUUUUAUAAUUCAAGACAUUGAAUUAGAAAUGGAACAAAAUGAGAACACUUGAACCAACUUUUGGUUUAGGACAGCGUGUUAAGUGAUAUGACUAUAAUGCCUCACAAAAAAAAAAAAAAAAAAAAAAAACGUUGCAGCUUAAUUAUAAUGGUUGUGAGGUGUUGAUGACAUUGAGGCAAUGGUGAAAAUGUGAUUUGAAUGAACAAAGCAAAAGUGGUUGAGUAAUUUGAAUUUGUGCUGAUUAGGUCCUUAGUAGGAGUCUAAGCAAUUUAUUCCUUGCUUCAACUGCCAAUCAACAUGUUGAAGGUACUUCGUAAAUCUCUUGUGAUUCCUUCGAGGAAUCGCUCAUGGCUUGUUUUUGCUGUGGAUUAGGUAAUUGAUGAAUUGGCCAAAUAUAUAUUCGUGUGACAAAGUAUAAUUAUAUCUACUUGGUCAUUAAUUGAUAUUCUUACUUUUGUUGCGGGUUAGACGGAUAAAUAAAGUUACGUGCUUUUCAAUAAGAACAUCCUUUGAGAUCCUAACAAGGGGAGUACGCCACAUUAAUGUGCAUCGGAUGCUCAAGUCAACAUUGAUGAGCACAUUAAAUUAUCCAUAUGGCUGAGAUCCAUCAAAGUUGAGACACGAUGAAUUAACAAUUCAUAGAUGAACAAAAUGGAGAAAAGGCAUGUAAACACAGUAUUAAAAAGAGCCAUGUUUGUUAUGAAAUAUAUGAAAUAUGUUGUUAUUACAAUAAUUGACGCAUGUGAAGUGGAGACUAGGAUUCCUUUUUUAUUGAUUUAGACACGAGUAUUGUAAGAUGGAUAAUGUUACGAUGCAGAUAAUACAGAUUCAGCAACUUCCAUAGCUACCACAUCUUUAGCCAAGACAGUAGCCAAGUUCGCUGCUCCUGUAACAGCCCAGUAGCGUUUAUAUCUUUUCGAACUAUUGUAAAAUUCAGUUGCAAUGCUGUUGCUC
rnacentral:lncRNA from 1 species